rnacentral:rRNA from 1 species
GACGAACGCUGGCGGCGUGCUUAACACAUGCAAGUCGAACGGAUAGGCCCUGCUUUUGUGGGGUUCUCGAGUGGCGAACGGGUGAGUAACCCGUGAGUAACCUGCCCUUGACUUUGUGAUAACUUCAGGAAACUGGUGCUAAUACCUGAUAGGAGCUCCUGCUGCAUGGUGGGGGUUGGAAAGUUUCGGCGGUUGGGGAUGGACUCGCGGCUUAUCAGCUUGUUGGUGGGGUAGUGGCUUACCAAGGCGUUGACGGGUAGCCGGCCUGAGAGGGUGACCGGCCACAUUGGGACUGAGGUACGGCCCAGACGCCUACGGGAGGCAGCAGUGGGGAAUAUUGCACAAUGGGCGGAAGCCUGAUGCAGCAACGCCGCGUGCGGGAUGACGGCCUUCGGGUUGUAAACCGCUUUCGCCUGUGACGAAGCGUGAGUGACGGUAAUGGGUAAAGAAGCACCGGCUAACUACGUG